GAUGAACGCUUUCUUCUUUCUUAACACAUGCAAGUCGAACGGAAAGGCCCAAGCUUGCUUGGGUACUCGAGUGGCGAACGGGUGAGUAACACGUGGGUGAUCUGCCCUGCACUUCGGGAUAAGCCUGGGAAACUGGGUCUAAUACCGGAUAGGACGAUGGUUUGGAUGCCAUUGUGGAAAGUUUUUUCGGUGUGGGAUGAGCUCGCGGCCUAUCAGCUUGUUGGUGGGGUAAUGGCCUACCAAGGCGUCGACGGGUAGCCGGCCUGAGAGGGUGUACGGCCACAUUGGGACUGAGAUACGGCCCAGACUCCUACGGGAGGCAGCAGUGGGGAAUAUUGCACAAUGGGCGCAAGCCUGAUGCAGCGACGCCGCGUGGGGGAUGACGGCCUUCGGGUUGUAAACUCCUUUCGCUAGGGACGAAGCGUUUUUGUGACGGUACCUGGAGAAGAAGCACAGGCUAACUACGGG
rnacentral:rRNA from 1 species